AGGAUUUUUUGCUGCGUCUCAAUGCAAUUUAGCUUAUAAUUUUACAUGUCAACAAUUGCUCAGGGAACAUCCUGCCACAAUUAAGCCAAAAAAAUGGCAUAUAGUACAAGACCUGAACUGCAAUGCAGUGAUUGUUCUUCAGUAUGCAUUUCAUAUGUAAGUUAUUUCUCAAAAAUUGAAAAAAAAAUUAUUUCUGCUUUGGGAUUUACUUUAGCAGUUGUGUUCUAAAAACUGACAAAAAUGAAAUGUUUCACUGAUUUUGAUAGAUCACCAUCCACAGGCGAGAGUGGCAAUUUCAAUGGCUUUUAUGUAUGCUGUAGGAAGUAUGACCUUCAUCAUCAGCAUUAAUAGAAUAUACAAGAAAAAUAAUAUCAUCUGUGUCUGUUAGCUAAAGUGAAAUGAAACCUGCAAAGUCAUGACUGAAACUUUGUUUGGUCAUAGCUAGAUAAAUUUAAAUUAUACUUGUUGCUGCUAUAAUACAAAAAUGAGAUGUAUCUCUUGAGACAGUCAAAAAAGUGAUAAAUCCAUAAAACAUCCAUUCCAUCAUUAGCAUUGAGUGGAUGUUAAAACUGUGUUUCAGUUAUUUUUGUUUGUUCAUCGUUGAUAUUUAUCAAAGAGAAACAUAGAUUCAGCCUAGAUAGCCCAAGCCAUCUGUGAUCCUUAUGACCUGAAUCCUGAAGUGACACAACUUGAUUUUUGUGUCAGUCGGGUCCAACCAUGUGAAACUUCUGGAUCAUUUUAGCAGUGGAGGUUUUGCUGAGUUACAUAAUCAAGUCAGCACGAGGUUAACUGUAUUAUUAAUAUUUCAUUAUAUUAAGAAUAUGUUACCUUGUGCAUAAGUUUUUCAUGUGGUUCAGAAUUUCUGCUGGAAACAAUUGGCUGCUGCAUGGAUUGUUCCAUGAAUAAAUCUGACUUGCAAAUGGAGCUACAUUUGUGUCAAGAACUGCAAGUGCCCUCCUCUGCUACUGUGAAGGGUUGCUGCCAGUUUUAGACCUGUGGACUGAAGUCCCACAGAGCUGGCUGCUGUUGACUUUCAAUAAGGCAAGGAUACUCUUUUUAUUCCCUUCCCAUCAAUUUUUAUAUUUUCUCCUUAUCCUGAGUUUUGUUUUAUCCCUGACACAAACCUGUGUUGCCAAGGUUCUGGAAAUGCAAGGGAUUUGGAAGGAAGAUCCUUUCACGACCUCAUCAGUUUGUGAAUGGCAUGCUGCCUGGUGCAAGUUUGAAGAGCCCUGAUACGGAUUAGAACCCUGCCUGCUGAAGCAAAGCAAUUUGAGAAGUACUCUGGGAAUAAAAGAUCCUGUUAAGAUGGCUCUACUUAGAGA
ensembl:lncRNA